rnacentral:misc_RNA from 1 species
GAUGAAGAACGCAGCGAAAUGCGAUACGUAAUGUGAAUUGCAGAAUUCAGUGAAUCAUCGAGUCUUUGAACGCACAUUGCGCCCCCUGGUAUUCCGGGGGGCAUGCCUGUCCGAGCGUCAUUGCUGCCCUCAAGCACGGCUUGUGUGUUGGGCCUCCGUCCUCCUCCCGGGGGACGGGCCCGAAAGGCAGCGGCGGCACCGCGUCCGGUCCUCGAGCGUAUGGGGCUUCGUCACCCGCUCUUGUAGGCCCGGCCGGCGCUUGCCGACACAUCAAUCUUUUUUCCAGGUUGACCUCGGAUCAGGUAGGGAUACCCGCUGAACUUAAGCAUAUCAUAAGCGGAGA